GAGAGAGCAAGCCCAACCUUGAAAGAUUGCUAGUCAUUCAAGCCCGCGGUUGAAAUCCGCGGCUCACUCG
rnacentral:tRNA from 1 species